GACAGAAGGUGCAAGCGUUACUCGGAAUUACUGGGCGUAAAGCGUCUGCAGGUGUCCUGUGAAGUCUGGUGUAAAAGCCCGGGGCUCAACUCCGGAAUUGCCUUUAAAACUGCAUCGCUAGAAUUGUGGAGAGGUAAGUGGAAUUCCGAGUGUAGAGGUGAAAUUCGUAGAUAUUCGGAAGAACACCAGUGGCGAAGGCGACUUACUGGACACAUAUUGACGCUGAGGUGCGAAAGCGUGGGGAGCAAACAGG
rnacentral:rRNA from 1 species